CACCCGAUGGCACAAGGUGUGUAUCUGCUAUAUUUAAAGACGCGAUCGAAGCUAUUUAUGCAGAAGGGCCCCGUUCGAUUCGGGGUCGGGUGA